UACGUAGGGGGCAAGCGUUAUCCGGAUUUACUGGGUGUAAAGGGAGCGUAGACGGUAUGGUAAGUCAGAUGUGAAAGCCCGGGGCUCAACCCCGGGACUGCAUUUGAAACUAUCAAACUGGAGUGCAGGAGAGGUAAGUGGAAUUCCUAGUGUAGCGGUGAAAUGCGUAGAUAUUAGGAGGAACACCAGUGGCGAAGGCGGCUUACUGGACUGUAACUGACGUUGAGGCUCGAAAGCGUGGGGAGCAAACAGGAUUAGAUACCCGUGUAGUCCCUGAGCGGG
rnacentral:rRNA from 1 species